rnacentral:rRNA from 1 species
UAGGGAAUCUUCCACAAUGGGCGAAAGCCUGAUGGAGCAACGCCGCGUGAGUGAAGAAGGUUUUCGGAUCGUAAAACUCUGUUGUAAGGGAAGAACAAGUGCAGUAGUAACUGGCUGCACCUUGACGGUACCUUAUUAGAAAGCCACGGCUAACUACGUGCCAGCAGCCGCGGUAAUACGUAGGUGGCAAGCGUUGUCCGGAAUUAUUGGGCGUAAAGCGCGCGCAGGCGGUUUCUUAAGUCUGAUGUGAAAGCCCCCGGCUUAACCGGGGAGGGUCAUUGGAAACUGGGAGACUUGAGUGCAGAAGAGGAAAGUGGAAUUCCAAGUGUAGCGGUGAAAUGCGUAGAGAUUUGGAGGAACACCAGUGGCGAAGGCGACUUUCUGGUCUGUAACUGACGCUGAGGCGCGAAAGCGUGGGGAGCAAACAGG